rnacentral:tRNA from 1 species
GCUCCGUUCGUCUAGCGGUCUAGGACGCCGCCCUCUCACGGCGGAAACACGGGUUCGAGUCCCGUACGGAGUGCCA